GUCUGCUAGAAGAGUCUUAAAGACACUAUGGAAGGUCGAAUUUUGGAGGAGUCUGAGAUUCAAUUUUGCUAUAUUCCAGCUUUUGUAGGAGUCUGAAAGGAGUUCGCUUAUUGUAGAAGCUCGGACGAAGACCAAUUAUCAUGGAAGCUUGGGUGGAGACUUCUUAUUGUAGAAGUCUCACUGUUGAAGAAGCUCGGUCAUUGAUGAAGUUUAGAAAAAGUUCAGAGUAG
rnacentral:lncRNA from 1 species